CAAAGAGAGGGUGAUGGGGCUCACCCGAAACUGCUUUUCAAGCUGAUGGCCUCUGCGGACCU
rnacentral:ncRNA from 2 species